UGAUGCCUCAGGUCAAAGGAUUACUUUGCAUUAUCCCAACCAUGAGUUCUCAUGUGACAUGAAUAUGAGAACUUUUCGUUGAUCGUGUUCAGUGAACUCAUUCUCUAUUGAGCACCUACGUACUUGUCUUGAUGUCACACACACCAAUGACUCGAGACUAGUCACUCUCCCUGAGAGAAGAAACAGCACGUACUGAUCUUAACGGACUGUCAAUGCCCAAUUGGUAAUCCUAUGAUCAGGAACGUUUAGGAUGUGUCUACGAAAGAAUGGUCUCAUGAAUCUAACUUCUUUAGAUCGCAUUCUACCAAUCACAUAUUCCUUGGACUUAUCGUUUAAGCAUAUAAAAUUUAUAUGAGACGGCUCAAACAAUAAUCUUUGCCCUUGAUAUUAAACUAGAUUAGUUUAAUAUGUGAAAUGUCCGUAAAGUAUCAUCAUAUGAUUGGUUUUAGGG
rnacentral:lncRNA from 1 species